rnacentral:rRNA from 1 species
AGCAGCCGUGGUAAUUCCAGCUCCAAUAGCGUAUAUUAAAGUUGUUGCAGUUAAAAAGCUCGUAGUUGAACUUCGGGGUUUACCCAUUGGUCAGGCUUAAUUGUCUGUACUGGUGAGAUGAAUCUCUACCUUCUGAGGAACUUUCAUGCCAUUUAUUUGGUGUGAUGGGAAAUCAGGACUGUUACUUUGAAAAAAUUAGAGUGUUUAAAGCAGGCUAACGUCUGAAUACAUUAGCAUGGAAUAAUGAAAUAGGACGGACUGAUUCUAUUUCGUUGGUUUCUAGGAUCACCGUAAUGAUUAAUAGGGAUAGUUGGGGGCAUUAGUAUUCAAUUGUCAGAGGUGAAAUUCUUGGAUUUAUUGAAGACUAACUACUGCGAAAGCAUUUGCCAAGGAUGUUUUCAUUAAUCAAGAACGAAAGUUAGGGGAUCGAAGACGAUCAGAUACCGUCGUAGUCUUAACCAUAAACUAUGCCGACUAGGGAUCGGACGAAGUUAAUUUUAUAAUGACGCGUUCGGCACCU